rnacentral:rRNA from 1 species
UCUGUAGCAAUACAGAUGGCGCACGGCGCACGGGUGCGUAACACGUGGGUAAUCUGCCCUUCGAUGGGGAAUAACUUCGGGAAACCGAAGCUAAUUCCGCAUGACAUUCCUUGAACCUCGGUUUGGGGACUCAAAGCCGUAAGGCGUCGGAGGAGGAACCCGCGCACGAUUAGCUAGUUGGUAGGGUAACGGCCUACCAAGGCUUUGAUCGUUAGCUGGUCUGAGAGGAUGGCCGGCCACACUGGAACUGAGACACGGUCCAGACUCCUACGGGAGGCAGCAGUGGGGAAUCUUGCACAAUGGGCGAAAGCCUGAUGCAGCGACGCCGCGUGGGGGAUGAAGCUUUUCGGAGUGUAAACCCCUUUCGACCCGGACGAAUACCUCGCAAGAGGGGUGACGGUACGGGUAUAAGAAGCCCCGGCUAACUACGUGCCAGCAGCCGCGGUAAGACGUGGGGGGCCAGCGUUGCUCGGAAUUACUGGGUGUAAAGGGUUCGUAGGCGGUGUGGCAAGUCGGGAGUGAAAUCUCUGGGCUUAACCCAGAGACUGCUUCCGAAACUGCUGUGCUUGAGUGUGGGAGAGGCGCGUGGAAUUGCAGGUGUAGCGGUGAAAUGCGUAGAUAUCUGCAGGAACACCCGUGGCGAAAGCGGCGCGCUGGACCACUACUGACGCUGAGGAACGAGAGCUAGGGGAGCAAACAGGAUUAGAUACCCUGGUAGUCCUAGCCCUAAACGAUCAGGAACUUGGGGUGCCGCACGUUCGUGCGUCGUCCCGGAGCUAACGCGUUAAGUCCUGCACCUGGGGAGUACGGUCGCAAGACUGAAACUCAAAGGAAUUGAC